GACGAACGCUGGCGGCGUGCUUAACACAUGCAAGUCGAACGGUGAAGCGCCUUCCUUUUUGGUGGGUGUGGAUGAGUGGCGAACGGGUGAGUAACACGUGAGUAACCUGCCCCCUUCUUCUGGAUAACCGCAUGAAAGUGUGGCUAAUACGGGAUAUUCUGGGUCUGUCGCAUGAUGGGUCUGGGAAAGAUAUUGUUUCGGUGGGGGAUGGGCUCGCGGCCUAUCAGCUUGUUGGUGGGGUGAUGGCCUACCAAGGCGGUGACGGGUAGCCGGCCUGAGAGGGUGACGGUCACACUGGGACUGAGACACGGCCCAGACUCCUACGGGAGGCAGCAGUGGGGAAUAUUGCACAAUGGGCGCAAGCCUGAUGCAGCGACGCCGCGUGAGGGAUGGAGGCCUUCGGGCUGUGAACCUCUUUCGCCAGUGAAGCAGGCCUGCCUCGUUUGUGGGUGGGUUGACGGUAGCUGGAUAAGAAGCGCCGGCUAACUACGUG
rnacentral:rRNA from 1 species